GUAGCGGCGAGCGAAACGGGAAAAGCCCAAACCAAUGAGCUUGCUCAUUGGGGUUGUAGGACUCCAAUAUGGUAGUUCUUUCAGAUAAUCGAAUGACUUGGAAAAGUCAGUCAAAGAGGGUAAAAACCCCGUAGAUGAAAUUUGGAAGGCACCUAGGAGGAUCCUGAGUACGGCGGAACACGAGGAAUUCCGUCGGAAUCCGGGAGGACCAUCUCCCAAGGCUAAAUACUCCCUAGUGACCGAUAGUGAACCAGUACCGUGAGGGAAAGGUGAAAAGCACCCCGGAAGGGGAGUGAAAUAGAACCUGAAACCGUGUGCCUACAACAAGUCAAAGCCCGUUAAUGGGUGAUGGCGUGCCUUUUGUAGAAUGAACCGGCGAGUUACGAUUGCAUGCGAGGUUAAGUCGAAGAGACGGAGCCGCAGCGAAAGCGAGUCUGAAUAGGGCGUUUGAGUAUGUAGUCGUAGACCCGAAACCAUGUGAUCUACCCAUGUCCAGGUUGAAGGUGCGGUAAAACGCACUGGAGGACCGAACCCACGUACGUUGAAAAGUGCGGGGAUGAGGUGUGGGUAGCGGAGAAAUUCCAAACGAACUUGGAGAUAGC
rnacentral:rRNA from 1 species